GAUGAAGAACGCAGCGAAAUGCGAUAAGUAGUGUGAAUUGCAGAAUUCAGUGAAUCAUCGAAUCUUUGAACGCACAUUGCGCCCUUUGGUAUUCCUUAGGGCAUGCCUGUUCGAGCGUCAUUUAAACCUUCAAGCUAAGCUUGGUGUUGGGUGACUGUCCGCUUCACGGCGGACUCGCCUCAAAAUUAUUGGCGGCCGGUACAUUGGCUUCGAGCGCAGCAGAAACGCGAACUCGGGCCCGUCGUAUUGGCUCCCAGAAGCUAUCUUCACAAUUUUGACCUCGGAUCAGGUAGGGAUACCCGCUGAACUUUAGCAUAUCAAUAAGCGGAGGA
rnacentral:misc_RNA from 1 species